rnacentral:rRNA from 1 species
ACUUGAAACUCAAAGGACUUGACGGUGUCCCAUACCGACCUAGAGGAGCCUGUCCUAUAAUCGAUACUCCCCGCUCCACCCAACCCCAACUAGCAUUCCUCAGCCUAUAUACCGCCGUCGAUCAGCCUACCCUAUGAAAGUCCAAUAGUAGACACAAUAGCCCUAUCGCUAAUACGUCAGGUCAAGGUGUAGCAAAUGUUGUGGAAGAGAUUGGCUACAUUUUUUAUUAUAAAAAAUACGAAAAAUACUAUGAAACAGUAUAUGAAGGUGAAUUUAGUAGUAAAAUAAACA